AAACAUUAAAGAGGCCAUUAUCACCUAUUCUUGGCCGAAACUAAAAGAGAAAGAAAAUAAGAAACAAGCUAGGUAUUCGACACUUUCAAGUCUUGAUUAAGAUCAAGAACUGAAGAAAACAGAAUUAGAUCGAGGGAAGUCGAAAGUAGUCGAGUAGUUGAUUUCGUUCGUCGAUAUCCGAGAUUUAGAAGUCACGAUACGAGCUCGGGGAUCAUCAGCAAAGUCUAUCACACUAUCGACAUCUUUUGGGUAUUUUGAUAAAAAAAUUUGAACUUGAUAUUAUGGCAUGUAUAGGCUUGCUUAUUUUUUUGGUUAGUUUUGGAACAUGUAUAUAAAUGGCCAUGUGAAAAUGGCUCAUAUUCUGUUGAUCAAAUUUGGUGUUUAUGUAUAUGGUCUUUAUGGUCAUUGAAAUGGAGUUUAUAA